AGAAAAUCAAUGACAAUUCAUCCUGCACAGCUCCUCAAUGCUAGCAGCCAUUAUUUGUUGAUGCCGAUUCCCACUGAAGAGGUUUUGAAUAACACAACAGGCAUGGCCCCGAUUGCUGAGUGAACUAUGAUUAGAGUUGAUGAAAUUAGUAUUACUUCAGUCUUUGAUGUUUACCAAGAGUGCUCUUCUCAGCAUCCACAAUUUAUCCAGAAUUGCCUCUUUCUCAAGUUCACAAGGAGCUACGUCUAUCAACAGCAUAGAUACAUGGACUCUGAAGGCUUUGUUUUAGCACAGCAUCACUCUUGCUCUGAACAGCAGUGGAAGCAUAUCCUGUAAUACAUGAUAUUCAGUAAGGAGAUGAUGAGAACAAAAAAAAAAUUAGUGAAGAUGCCAGUGGAAAAAAGUAAAAAUGCAUUGUGUUUGAAUUUGUGUAGAUGUGUUUAAAGCUUUGUUGCCCUUGUCUUAGGAUGAAAUACAAAUGCCAAUAUUUCCAUUUGUAUACAAGUUUCUCAGUAGUUCCUUUUUACUACAUUGUUCCCAGAAUGCAUAAAAGAACUACUGGUCUGUAGUUACUGAGUUUAGUUUUGGAGCUCGCUGCAUGCAACUGCACUAUUGUAACCUUAAUCCAGGCUUUAAGUAUCCCAGCUGUGUCCUUGUAGAGAAUGAACAACUUCACUCCUAUGUAGAUAAAACAUCAGUUCUCAAUAGCUCUCAUACCCUUCCUGUCUCUGUUGUAACCACUCACUCAUCCUCAGUUCACUGCUGCAGUCUCUAAAGUCUGUCUUACCUUGUAAUAAAGCAUUUGUUUCAUGUACAGUCCCCCUGCUUUUCUUACUGGUUUCUUAUAUAUGUUUUUCAUUAAUAAAUUACUAUAUUAGAACAGUAUUAAUAUUGCAUCAUGUCUUUAACAUCUCGUGUGCAGUGAGAAAUAAGUAUUAAAUGUGACCUCAUCUAUAGGAGAUAUAGUAAUUUUAUGAGUGAAUGGGUGGUGAGGGGCUGAGGGCAAAAUGGAUGAUAAACAGCAGUUACAUGCUAGAAGUGAGCAUCUGUGUGCAUCCCAUGAUGGGCUGUCAUUUCAUCCACAUUUCUUCUCUGCCUUAUUCAGUUACUUGUUGGGAUAAGUUCUGGCUCCCUCACAACGUAGAAUAAGACAGAAGAUAUUGGAGAAUGAAUGAAUAUAUAAUAUGUAUUGUUCAGUAAGCAAAAUUCAGUGUUGCUGAGAUAAUCAAACCAGACUUCAUAGUGCUUCAGAUUGCAAAGUUGCAAUGCAGUCACAGAACUCUGGACAAUUUUUAGUACUGAACGUCUGCUUUCUCAAAGUCUUUGAAGAUGCCAAUUAAUGCUGGGUGAUUUUUUUGCACUGAUAAUGUCAUUUUUGCAGGGUUUUUUUUUUUGGGGGGGUUGUCUUUUUUCUAAAGAAGUAACAUCCCCAUAUAUUGCAGUCAUAUUUUUUUCUUUGCUUGUUGCAGGCCGCCCCAAUGUAGAAUACACUGCAUUAGUUAGAUGCUGCCUAUGAUGUCCGAGCCCCAUUACAUCACUGACACUGCACUGGAUGCUUGGGGAGUGUGGUACUUCUUCUCUGGCAUGUGUUAAAAACAGCCUUACAGAUAAUUGCUUUAUUUUCUUUCCUUUUCUUUCUUUCUUUCUUUCUUUCACUUUCUUUCUUUCUCUUCCUUCCUUCCCCAUCUUUCUGCUUAUUUAUGAAAACCAUGCAACUAUACACACUGCCCAUGAUGCACUGAUCAUACAAUAGAAAAUACUCUGCAUUGGGUGAGGACUUUUUUUCUGCACAUACAUUGUAGAUGUAUUUAAUGUAGUAUAAUAUAAAGUUAUGAAAAGCCAGAGAUACUUUAGCAUUUAGGGUCACUUUGUUUUUUUCUUUUCUGUCUUUACCUUGUGUUUGUCUUAGUUGCCUUUCUAGGCAUGAAAACUGCAUGAGUCACUGUCACAGUAUUGGAGGAAAACCCUGGCUUCCCUCGAUUUUUCUCUACAUGAAAUUUUUAACUUGGCAUUUCUUGUAAGAUGGUGUACUUUUUUUCACAAAGCUCUUAGAAGUGAGAACUGAAUUAUGUAUUCCCCCAUUAUUGGUUUUGUGUGUGGAAGUAGACUUUUAUGAUGGAAAUGUUCUGAAUUACGCA